GCUCGCCUCAGCAGGCCAUAUACUAAAAUUAGAACGAUAGAGAAAAUAUUCACGCGGCCCCUGGGUAAUGAUGAGACACAAAUUCAUGAAGCAUUCCAUAUUUUC